AACUGAUACUACCUGCGGGAACCUGCGGAAGGAUCAUUAAAAAAAUGAAGCCGGCCAAAAGGUCGGCAUCAUAAUCCUUUAAUACCUAUGUGCACUUAUUGAACCUUUUUGCUUUGGCAGGAGAAAUCCUGCCAGAGGUAUCCCAUCAAAACCUGAAUGUUUUGACUGACCUUUAUUUCAAAUAAAAUUUUGAAUACAACUUUCAACAAUGGAUCUCU
rnacentral:misc_RNA from 1 species